CUCCAGACUCCUACGGGAGGCAGCAGUGGGGAAUAUUGCGCAAUGGGGGAAACCCUGACGCAGCAACGCCGCGUGAGUGAAGAAGUAUCUCGGUAUGUAAAGCUCUAUCAGCGGGGAAGAAGGAAGACGGUACCCGACUAAGAAGCCCCGGCUAACUACGUGCCAGCAGCCGCGGUAAUACGUAGGGGGCGAGCGUUAUCCGGAUUUACUGGGUGUAAAGGGAGCGUAGACGGCCAUGCAAGCCAGGGGUGAAAGCCCGGGGCCCAACCCCGGGACUGCCCUUGGAACUGCAUGGCUGGAGUGCGGGAGGGGCAGGCGGAAUUCCUGGUGUAGCGGUGAAAUGCGUAGAUAUCAGGAGGAACACCGGCGGCGAAGGCGGCCUGCUGGACCGCGACUGACGUUGAGGCUCGAAAGCGUGGGGAGCAAACAGGAUUAGAUACCCUUGUA
rnacentral:rRNA from 1 species